rnacentral:rRNA from 1 species
GCUCAGGAUGAACGCUGGCGGCGUGCCUAAUACAUGCAAGUCGAACGAGUUCUGAUUAUUGAAAGGUGCUUGCAUCUUGAUUUAAUUUUGAACGAGUGGCGGACGGGUGAGUAACACGUGGGUAACCUGCCCUUAAGUGGGGGAUAACAUUUGGAAACAGAUGCUAAUACCGCAUAAAUCCAAGAACCGCAUGGUUCUUGGCUGAAAGAUGGCGUAAGCUAUCGCUUUUGGAUGGACCCGCGGCGUAUUAGCUAGUUGGUGAGGUAACGGCUCACCAAGGCAAUGAUACGUAGCCGAACUGAGAGGUUGAUCGGCCACAUUGGGACUGAGACACGGCCCAAACUCCUACGGGAGGCAGCAGUAGGGAAUCUUCCACAAUGGACGCAAGUCUGAUGGAGCAACGCCGCGUGAGUGAAGAAGGCUUUCGGGUCGUAAAACUCUGUUGUUGGAGAAGAAUGGUCGGCAGAGUAACUGUUGUCGGCGUGACGGUAUCCAACCAGAAAGCCACGGCUAACUACGUGCCAGCAGCCGCGGUAAUACGUAGGUGGCAAGCGUUAUCCGGAUUUAUUGGGCGUAAAGCGAGCGCAGGCGGUUUUUUAAGUCUGAUGUGAAAGCCCUCGGCUUAACCGAGGAAGUGCAUCGGAAACUGGGAAACUUGAGUGCAGAAGAGGACAGUGGAACUCCAUGUGUAGCGGUGAAAUGCGUAGAUAUAUGGAAGAACACCAGUGGCGAAGGCGGCUGUCUGGUCUGUAACUGACGCUGAGGCUCGAAAGCAUGGGUAGCGAACAGGAUUAGAUACCCUGGUAGUCCAUGCCGUAAACGAUGAAUGCUAGGUGUUGGAGGGUUUCCGCCCUUCAGUGCCGCAGCUAACGCAUUAAGCAUUCCGCCUGGGGAGUACGACCGCAAGGUUGAAACUCAAAGGAAUUGACGGGGGCCCGCACAAGCGGUGGAGCAUGUGGUUUAAUUCGAAGCAACGCGAAGAACCUUACCAGGUCUUGACAUCUUUUGAUCACCUGAGAGAUCAGGUUUCCCCUUCGGGGGCAAAAUGACAGGUGGUGCAUGGUUGUCGUCAGCUCGUGUCGUGAGAUGUUGGGUUAAGUCCCGCAACGAGCGCAACCCUUAUGACUAGUUGCCAGCAUUUAGUUGGGCACUCUAGUAAGACUGCCGGUGACAAACCGGAGGAAGGUGGGGAUGACGUCAAAUCAUCAUGCCCCUUAUGACCUGGGCUACACACGUGCUACAAUGGAUGGUACAACGAGUUGCGAGACCGCGAGGUCAAGCUAAUCUCUUAAAGCCAUUCUCAGUUCGGACUGUAGGCUGCAACUCGCCUACACGAAGUCGGAAUCGCUAGUAAUCGCGGAUCAGCACGCCGCGGUGAAUACGUUCCCGGGCCUUGUACACACCGCCCGUCACACCAUGAGAGUUUGUAACACCCGAAGCCGGUGGCGUAACCCUUUUAGGGAGCGAGCCGUCUAAGGUGGGACAAAUGAUUAGGGUGAAGUCGUAACAA